rnacentral:lncRNA from 1 species
CUAAUGACAGUUCCCCUCAGAUCCAGUUUGCUUGUCAUUUCUGCUGAAAUGCCGAUGUAUUUGGAGAGAACAUUUGCAAAUGGGGAAAAAAUGCCAGUUUCUUGUAUGAAGCUGUGGAGCUCUUCCAGAACCCCCUGGCUGAUUUGGCUGGAGGAGAUGAACCCUUGGCAGGAUUUCCAUCACUGGGGAGUUCUUAAUGAUGCAUAAGGUGAAAUCCUGGUCCCUGUAAAGCUGAUGGAAGUUUUGCUAUUAAUUUCUGUGAGGCCAGGAUUUCACCCUGGAAAGGGAGUCAAAAGUACAGGCAUGCUUUCAGAGACAGAGCGGCUGAUUAAAUACAUCUGGUGCGCUGCUCUUUUAUCAAUCAUUGAUAAAAUAGAGCCUCUUAAAUAUAAACUUUGGGUAAGCUUAACUGCAAAAUUCAAACAUCCUUUUACAAGUCUAAAAAGCAAAAUUUGUCUGCUUUUUGUCUGAAAAGAACAGAAAUCAUGGUAAAAAAAUAACACACACCCAUCCUCAUCUGCUCCAAACUCCUGUAGUAUUUGAUGUUCUGCUGAAAUGUGUAAUUAAAGCACAGAAAAGCCAGUUAAAAUAUUUCUAGAUGAUACAUAAAACUUUAUCCUGUAAGGAUGUCGUCCAAAACUAUGUUCCUUCUCAUUUAAUUCCUGAGCAGCUAAACACCAGCUAGGGGUUCAUCCGGAUUUUGGCAUGGACCGUGCUUUCCCCGGACCACCGGGCACUGCCACUUGGGACAUCCCAGCGGGGCUGUGGUCAGGGAGGGAGCCCUGGCAUCAGGGUGUGUUGCUAUGGAUGGGACCAGCGUGGUGAUGCGCAGGAGGGCAGAGAGGGCUGGAAAAUACUCUCCCAGGCCCGGUGUGUGCCCUGGCACGGCCCGGGUGCGAUGCAGGGGGCACACGCGUGUCCCCCCACCGGGCGCAUCUCUGCCACGGGCAUGAGAACCCUGCGGCGGCCAGCACCGCCGGCCCGGACGAGCCAAACCGCGGAGGGCAGGGCAAGGGAGGAGGCUGUCCCGGCCAGCCCGGCCUCUGAAGGACAGCCUUCCUCCCGGCCGCCCUCCCAAACCGGAGCGGGACCUUCCCCGGAAACUUCCAUGCUAGAAUAUUGUCACCUCCAGUUCAUCAUUCAGCAACAUCUGACACUUCAAAGCCUGGAGCGGCUCUUUCUGCUGCAUGACUCUGCCUUGAAUUGA